GUGCCUAAUACAUGCAAGUAGAACGCUGAAGAGAGGAGCUUGCUCUUCUUGGAUGAGUUGCGAACGGGUGAGUAACGCGUAGGUAACCUGCCUUGUAGCGGGGGAUAACUAUUGGAAACGAUAGCUAAUACCGCAUAACAAUGGAUGACACAUGUCAUUUAUUUGAAAGGGGCAAUUGCUCCACUACAAGAUGGACCUGCGUUGUAUUAGCUAGUAGGUGAGGUAAUGGCUCACCUAGGCGACGAUACAUAGCCGACCUGAGAGGGUGAUCGGCCACACUGGGACUGAGACACGGCCCAGACUCCUACGGGAGGCAGCAGUAGGGAAUCUUCGGCAAUGGGGGCAACCCUGACCGAGCAACGCCGCGUGAGUGAAGAAGGUUUUCGGAUCGUAAAGCUCUGUUGUAAGUCAAGAACGGGUGUGAGAGUGGAAAGUUCACACUGUGACGGUAGCUUACCAGAAAGGGACGGCUAACUACGUGCCAGCAGCCGCGGUAAUACGUAGGUCCCGAGCGUUGUCCGGAUUUAUUGGGCGUAAAGCGAGCGCAGGCGGUUUGAUAAGUCUGAAGUUAAAGGCUGUGGCUCAACCAUAGUUCGCUUUGGAAACUGUCAAACUUGAGUGCAGAAGGGGAGAGUGGAAUUCCAUGUGUAGCGGUGAAAUGCGUAGAUAUAUGGAGGAACACCGGUGGCGAAACGGCUCUCUGGUCUGUAACUGACGCUGAGGCUCGAAAGCGUGGGGAGCGAACAGGAUUAGAUACCCUGGUAGUCCACGCCGUAAACGAUGAGUGCUAGGUGUUGGAUCCUUUCCGGGAUUCAGUGCCGCAGCUAACGCAUUAAGCACUCCGCCUGGGGGAGUACGACCGCAAGGUUGAAACUCAAAGGAAUUGACGGGGGCCCGCACAAGCGGUGGAGCAUGUGGUUUAAUUCGAAGCAACGCGAAGAACCUUACCAGGUCUUGACAUCCCGAUGCUAUUUCUAGAGAUAGAAAGUUACUUCGGUACAUCGGUGACAGGUGGUGCAUGGUUGUCGUCAGCUCGUGUCGUGAGAUGUUGGGUUAAGUCCCGCAACGAGCGCAACCCCUAUUGUUAGUUGCCAUCAUUCAGUUGGGCACUCUAGCGAGACUGCCGGUAAUAAACCGGAGGAAGGUGGGGAUGACGUCAAAUCAUCAUGCCCCUUAUGACCUGGGCUACACACGUGCUACAAUGGUUGGUACAACGAGUUGCGAGUCGGUGACGGCGAGCUAAUCUCUUAAAGCCAAUCUCAGUUCGGAUUGUAGGCUGCAACUCGCCUACAUGAAGUCGGAAUCGCUAGUAAUCGCGGAUCAGCACGCCGCGGUGAAUACGUUCCCGGGCCUUGUACACACCGCCCGUCACACCACGAGAGUUUGUAACACCCGAAGUCGGUGAGGUAACCUUUUGGAGCCAGCCGCCUAAGGUGGGACAGAUGAUUGGGGUGAAGUCGUAACAAGGUA
rnacentral:rRNA from 1 species